rnacentral:rRNA from 1 species
UAUUUGAUGGAGAGUUUGAUCCUGGCUCAGGACGAACGCUGGCGGCGUGCCUAAUACAUGCAAGUCGAGCGGGGCUUGAGGAGGGCUUGCCCUUCGAGAGCCCAGCGGCGGACGGGUGAGUAACACGUG